rnacentral:rRNA from 1 species
CCUACGAGUGGCAGCAGUGAGGAAUAUUGGUCAAUGGGCUUACGCCUGAACCAGCCAAGUCGCGUGAGGGAAGACUGCCCUAUGGGUUUUCAACCUCUUUUGUCAGUGAGCAACGCCGGCUACGUGUAGCCGGACUGAGAGUACCUGAAGAAAAAGCAUCGGCUAACUCCGUGCCAGCAGCCGCGGUAAUACGGGGGAUGCGAGCUUUAUCCGGAUUUAUUGGGUUUAAAGGGUGCGUAGGCGGAAUGCAAAGUCAGCGGUAAAAUCGCGGGGCUCAACCUCGCUCCGCCGUUGAAACUGGUGUUCUUGAGUGGGCGAGAAGUAUGCGGAAUGCGUGGUGUAGCGGUGAAAUGAAUAGAUAUCACGCAGAA